UACGUAGGGUGCGAGCGUUGUCCGGAAUUACUGGGCGUAAAGAGCUCGUAGGUGGUUUGUCGCGUUGUUCGUGAAAACUCACAACUCAAUUGUGGGCGUGCGGGCGAUACGGGCAGACUGGAGUACUGCAGGGGAGACUGGAAUUCCUGGUGUAGCGGUGGAAUGCGCAGAUAUCAGGAGGAACACCGGUGGCGAAGGCGGGUCUCUGGGCAGUAACUGACGCUGAGAAGCGAAAGCAUGGGGAGCGAACAGG
rnacentral:rRNA from 1 species